GGCACCGCAGGGCGACAGGGGGUUGAAGUGCGGCGGUGUCAGGGUGUUACUGAGGUGGAAGGCACCGGUGUUUUGUCACCUCCAGGAGGACACUGCUCUGUCACGCCAAAUUAUUGCUUAAAAAAAAAAGUAAAUGUGCUAGUGUCUGGGUAAGGCGACUUUCAGUUUAAAUUUAAAGGCUUUCCUUUCACUUGUUUCCCUUUUUUCCACAAGCGGACUGUAGAAUUAACUGCGAUAGGAACCUAUGAUACAUGAUCUUAGCAAGAUCCAUAACAUCUCAGGACAUACAGAUACAAUCAAAAACUGAAUUGUGGGGCAAAAGACCCUAAAAACCACAGGGUCUAGCAGAGGAAUUAGGCCUAGCACUCGGAAUCAGCAGAGGCCUCACUGCACACCCAGCCGAGACCCAAUCUAGGAGGCAGGUUGCCCCUACAGUAAGAGGAGAAGCUUCUGCUGACACAUUUGAUCUGAGCUUCCCCAAGAUAAGUCCCUGAGGUGGGAGGUGAGGCCUGCCCAGCCCAGUGUAGCACAUUCCUGGCUGCACCCUGCCUCACAGCCUGCCGUGCGGUGCUCUUAACGCUGCUACCUCGGUGGUUUCUGCAUGCCCAUUUCUGGGUUACUCAGGCAGUGCUGGGGAACCAGUUCAGGUGAAAGUAACUGAUAGCUUUUUGUCACAGCUAUUUUUAAACCAGCUGAGCUCCCCGAUCCCAUUCACGGUGCAGCUGUCUGAGCACGUACCAGGAGAGCCAGAGUGGAGUGCAGCAAGGGCUGGCUGCGCCCUAGCAAAAGGGGAGCUGAGAGGAGCUCCUGGUAGGGCUGCACCUUCAGCAGCCCUGGGCACAUCCCCACAAUACCUGAGCCCAGCAAGCAGGGCAGGCCCAGGGUAGCAGCCAAGAGUUGAGAUUGCCAGGCAAGCCCCUGGCAAUGAGGUAGGCCUGUGGUUGGUCAAGCUAGGAAGGCAAUUCACAGCUCAGGAUGAGGUCUAGCAAUUACCAGGCAGGUCCAUGGUGGCAAGGUGAAGUGAGCUACAGGGCAGGCUCUAGCUCAGCAGGGUCUAAAUGGCACAGCCAGACUCCAACAUUCCUCCAGCUUAGCUCAAGCAGGAGGCAAUAGCCCUGGGCUGAGCUUAAAUGGACGCCCACACCCACCCACCUGCCCACCCCUGGGCAGGGGCUGUGGGUAAAUGCUCCAGGUGGGGCUGUUCAGGGCAAUUAAGACCUGUUAGUGCUGUUAGCGUCCUGGCAGCUGAAGGCAGACCGAGGGACAAGAGAUGGAGUGUACAGUGGCUCGGUGGAGGCUGCAGAAGCUGCAUCUUGCUGUGGAGAGGAGCAUUUGCUGAAAGCCAGCUCAAGCGAUGAGCGUAUAUUGGGAGUGGUGGUGUUCUGCUGGCCUGAGCGGUGUCAGCCUGAGUUGCUUGCUCCUGCCCUAUCUGUUGUGUGCUGCUGCUCCCCUCCUCUGCUGGCUUUAUUCUGACAGGGUCUGUGCUUGGCCUUGUGGUGGAGAUGCUGUGCAGGGGCCAGGAGGGACAGAAUCUAUUCAUGGUGGUGUUAACCCCAGUUGGGGCUUAUGAGGGAGAAAUGGUAUGAGCCCAGGCAGCCUCAGAAGUCUGUAGGUCAGUGUCACGCGAUGUCCCUGCCUGUCUGUGCUAGGAGGCAUCUGGAGAUACAGUGCGGGCUGCUCUGCUCUGUGAAGGGUGCACGGUUUAAGCUCAUUGUGCUGUAUCCAAGGAAGACUUGCUACAGCAGGGUUCCUUGAGCUUCCUUGCCUCAGCUGUGUCCCUUGCAAGCCUUCCAGCCCAUGCUGUUUGCUCCAAGUGCUGGCAAGACUGCUGAUCCUGUCCAUCAGUUUUACAUAAAAACAGCAGGAAGAGCAUGCUGCUGGUCUGAAAAACAGUCAGCUUCUUUUUGUUGUCUUUGUCAGUACAGGAAAGACCUCCUGCUGCUGACUGUUCCCUGCGAGCGUGUGCUGUCACUGCAGUUCUUGCUAUUUCCUGCAUCUGUUUCUCUUGCAUCUCAUGUGCUUUGCUGUUGAAUUUCUGAGCUGCAAGCCGGCAGCCUGCUCUUUGGCCCUCAGCUUUCAUGUCCGUCUACAUCACAUCUGACAUUUGCCUCUUUCUUCCUGACUGCUGUGACACCAGACCCCAAGCCAGCUGUAGCCCCAUAAUCAGAGAUCUCCUUGCUGCUACUGCUGCUAGGAAGUGACAGUCCCCAGCAUCAUCCAGGAGAGCAAAGGAGGGUGACCAGGCUUGUUCUUGGAGCCUGCCAUACCCCUGGGGAUGCUUUUAUCAGCACAGAAGUCUUGCUGUUUGAGUGUGAGGUUACCGUGGAAGGAUAAAUGGCAAAGCAGAAGGAUAGUCAGACGAGAGCUGGGGAGGCUCGAGAGCGAAGUGCUGUGCUGGGGUAAAACCCGCCCUGCACUUGCAGGUCUGAGCCAAGGCAAGGAGAAGGUGCCCCUCUGGGGAUGUCUGGAAGCAGGGUGGCCAAGGGGAGCAGGGGCCUUGCUGUCUUCCACUGCCCAGCAGGCUGCGGGCUGCAAGGACUGUGUGGGAGAGGGAGGGUGCUGGCUGUGUCCUGCCCUCCCAGUCGGACCUGUUGGCCUCUCGUGCUUUUGCUGAAUGAGAAGAAUAGGGGAGGGAGCAGGAAAUUCAGUAAACUACCCCAAAAUAACCGGGAGAGACAGUUUCCCAUGGAUCACAAUGCGAGUGGUGGGGUAGCAGCAAUCUAGUGAUUCCCUGGGGAGAGGAGCAAUUCUUAAGGUUGUUUUUUUUGUUUUGUUUUGUUUUUAAACCAGCCAGUUUACAGAUACUGGGUACCAGUCUGCCAGUGUGCCAGUGCAAUUAGUAACUGCCUCCCUAGGAAAAGCAUUGUACAAAGGCAGGCAGGCACGUCACACACUGACUCUGUACAAUGCUUCCAGCAAGAUUUAAGAUAAGGAGCUAAUACAUUAUGUGUAGAGUGAAUAUUUUGUUAAGGUUUACAACUUACACAAUUUUACUGCAGUCUUACAAAUGUUGUGGUUUGGAGACAAUCCAGCAAAGGUAGAAGGAACAUACGAAGGAAGACGGCGGGUGGGUAACUCGGGAGAUACCGAGGAGCAGUCAUGGCUGGCUUCAUCCAGUUUGGGGUUGUGCCGCAGCCGAAAGGCCGGUCCUGCUGCACGUGAUGCCGCUUGCACCCGCUCUGGCAGCUGGGUGGCUGAGCUGGUCUCCCUCUUUGCCCCAUGACUGCGAAAGUAAGGGAAGGGCUAGGAAGGCUUGACGGGGAGAGGAGAGGACUGUCCCUCUCAGUUGCAUCAGCUGAUGUUGCUGGGCUGCCAGGCAAAACUGCUGGGGCUUGAUGGAAACGGUAACUAGAGCGUGAGUCCUGAUUGCUGCCGAUAACCUGUUAAGUGACUCUCUGUGCGUGUGCAUGCACGUGUGUCUUCAUGCUUUCCUUUCGUAACUCCAUUUCCACUCUUGUAAGCAAAUAUUUAUUUUCAAAGGUCUGGGUUGAAACACUCCACCUGGUGUUACAGGUGCUGGGGACAUGGAAGGUUUUGGGGAUGCCUUUGGGGAUGAUUUAUUCAUCACAGACUUAACUGUUCUUGGAAUGACCCACUGUUUUCUCCCACACAGAAGCCAUCCCAGGAGCAACGCACACCCUGAGGUCCCCCAAAAUACAGCAGGAGUUGGCACCAGCAAGACUGAUUCACCAGCAGACAUCACUCCUGUUCUAGCUUACAAGGUGUCUCCAGCUCCGACACCAGCCCUGAGCUCAGCCUUUGGUGCCUCGGCAGGCAGUCUGUGUGCGGAGGACAGAUUUACAAUACUGUUUGCUGCUUUUGGAGCAAUGUUGCUGGAGAGGCAGAUCCAUUACAACGUGUGGCUCUCAACGACUGACUUUGGAGCUGGGGUUUACAGUGCAGGUAAUGUGUCAGUGGCUGGAGAAGUCUUCCUGCCUGUGGCAGCAGGAACCUAGGGACACCAGACAGUGCCUCUCAGCUGCUUCUUCCUUUCUGCCUUCAAUGGCAAUGUGGGGACUGAGCUGCUGUGCCACUGUGUCCUCAAGCAGAACAUCAGGACCCAGGUGCCAACAUCUCCAUGAUGCCAGGUGCCACUGCCCCAUCGAAGGCACUGCCACCACGAUUGAUGGUUGAUGUGGAGGUCAUGUUGCUGCCCCAGCCACCCCUGUGCUGGAGCUCACAUAUUUCUUUGACCCCCGCUACCUGCACACCUUUGUCCGCAGCACGCUGUAGGCCCUGGGACCUUCCAGGUGAGCAGCAAGGCCAUGCACUAGCACUGUGUGUCUCACCUGGGCGCUCUGCGGGAGGAGAGGGCUCCCCAGGCCGUUUGCGGGCAGGGGGACAUCGGCCUGGCCAGACUGGCAGCUCCAGGGGAAUGGCGCUCCCCAGCUGUUCAGCAGGAGCGCAGCAGAGACCUUUAUUUCACAGCCAGCCUGGCUUUGCCUCAGUUUGCAGGGCGUGAGGCUAUUACUUGCUUCCUUGAGCUGCUCACCAGUCUUCAACAUCUGCAGCAGCUGAAACUUCAGAAACACUGGUGGCAGCACAAGGCCUAAAGCCUUGGCUGUCCUCUCAGAUAACUCAAGAGGCCCAGGCAGCAGCCAUCAAAGGAGUUGGUUUCAUUCGCAGACCCUGAAGUCACAAGAAGUCCAACUCCUUGAAGAAAAGGCACCAUCUCUGAGAAUUAUAGUUUGUGUUGGUCUUGGGAGGACUAGCUUAGCUGCCAGCCUGCAGGCCUGGGACAGCCCACAUGGGAGUUAAGAAACAGUGUUUUCUGUGCUUUUGAGCAUCUUUACUGAAGCACUUUAAUGCUGGAAUUACAUAAGCUGAAAAACCAAGUGACCUGGGGGUGGAGGAAGAAGGGAGGUGGAGAAGGGGGAAGAUGGUGAUACUACAGUGAGGGAAAUGCCUCCUUUUUCACACCAGAACAAUGAGCCUCUUCUGGAGUUUCUGAGUUGCCUGGCCACUGCCUCCUUUCAGGGGCAAUCCACAGCACAGGCACCGAUUUGCUUGAGGACAGAGCUGGAAGGGCUGUCCUAUUAUACGUGACCUUUCUGACUUUUCCAGUGGGCAUGUAACCUCCAUGUUCCCUGCAGAUCACCUCACUCACCAGUUUUCUGAACUGAAUCCCUCCAGUAGGGGAAUAGUUGCUUGCAGGCCCCACAAGAGUGGGAAGCAUGCCUAAAGCAGAAGACAGUGACCCAAAGCAGGCAAUGCUAAAAAAAACAGAGUAAGCAAGGUAAAAUAAGAAAGCUGUUGCUUUACUAUAAAACAGUUUUGAAAAUAUACGAUUCCCACAGAAUAUAAGCACCACUGUGAAAUGGGAUUUGGGUGGAGAGUGAGUAGGUAGCAGUGUUUCGGCUCCGCAGGUGGCCACAAUGCGUAGGGAGGAUGCAGGGCCCUAAGUGCAACAAACGCACACUGGGGCGUGGAUGGAGCAUUCCUCAGGAACUGUGUGGCACCUGUGUGGCCCUGAGGAGGAUUUGAGAGAAAGGGCUAGCACGAUCACAGCUGGGGACAGGGACUGUUCCAGUAUCAGCCUCCUGCUGAAAGCAGGAACAAUAGACUCAGGAAGUCAAAGGGGAAGAAUACAGGACCUGGAAGAUUUCCAGCUGAUAGGACAGAAGGGAAACACAGGGAGGAAGGGAUCACAGGAUCUAUAAAUAGCCGGACCCAGUGAAAGCGCUGAGACUGAAGAGGAGAGAUUAUGGGCCUCCGCAUCUACUGGAGAAGAGGUGCUGACCCACCACGCUGCUUCUGGAGAAAGGACAUCUCAAGCUGCAGCUGUAAUUACAUCAAACUGCGGGACUGACAGCAAACCAUGAACCUGUGCAAGGAGGGUUACUAGACAAGGGAAAGCAGGAUGAGACGGCCACUAAAAUGGAUGUGUUCAAAGCAACUGAGAAGGUGAUUGGGCCUAAAAUCUGGUUUUGAAAAGUUCACUGCAGCCAUGCUAUUGAGUCAAGAUAUCCCUAGAAAAAAAACAGCCAGUCUUUUAGAGUUACCCCGUUCCCUACCCUCACCCCCACUUUCCUUUCAGCAAGAAUUUAUUCAUCUUGUCCAGAAACAUCCUCUCGUAUUCAUCUGUUUGCUCUUCUUAGGUAGGUUGAUAAACAGAUUCACUCCCUUGUAGUCCCUGAGCUUUCCAGCUCCUUGUAGCCUAGAAGUGGGUGGCAGUGCAACACUUGGUUGCAUUUUUUUUAUUAUUAUUAUUUUUAAAUGGGUAUUUUCCAACCUUAUUUCCAUAGGUGAAGCUGGGGUUCGUGGCCUUGUCUCAGGUUCAGCUCCACGACCAGCACGGAGUGUCCCUGCAGCCAGCCUCUGUGCAGUUACCUAGGAGCAACUACUCAACGGUCUGAGUGGUGUUCAGGCCCAUUUUACCUCCACCACCAGCUUUCCUCACAAGCAGAGGGGAAUUUUGCAGACUGUUGCCCAUGAGCAAAACCCUAGCAGAUCUAGAAAUGAGACUGAAGCAGCCCCAGUUGUGCAGUUUGUGCACAGCCUGAACUUCAGUCAAGGAGAACAUGCCUGAAAUAGCAGAGCUGAGCACCCCACAGCUGCAGCCGUGGGCUAGGUCUGCAAGCAGGGCAGGAGCAAAGGGCAUCCAGGAGAAUCCAGGGCAUCCACAAUGGUUUUUAACAGCUCUGGGGGGGUCCCGGUGCAGGAUUGACAUCUACUCACACCUGCUUCAGUGCUUUGUGCCAAGCAAACCAGCCACAAUGACAGAGGGAAUAGGGAAGUGGAAAUGGAAAGUAAACUGAAGCACCAACGGCCCCAGGCUCCACACAGGGCUGUGGGAACGCCACCAAGAGUUAGAUGCUAACCACAACUCUCAGCUGCCACCACAGAGCACAGCUGGCUUGGGGGCUCUACAGGGUCCAAGACCCAAAUUCUGCCUACAGGGCAGAAAUGUUAUUAAUGGGUUGAGCAAGCUCAGCUUCUGCUUUGGGGAAACGGGUGUGAUCUGCCAUAGGGAAUCCUUAACUUCCUCUUCCUGAAAAAUUCAUCAUCAUCAUAAAAGCCAAGCUUUGCAUGAUGCUUUAGAAAUACUUUCCCAGGAAGAUGUCAGAACUAAAUUAAUUAUCUGCCAACCACAGAUGUACAAGCUUUUCACAAGGAAUGGCUUUAUUAAAAACAACAACUAGAUAAUGUUUUCAUCGUGUUGUCCAUCAGCCACAGAGGCACAUCUGUAUGUUUUUCCAGAAGCUCUGUGGGAAGCAUAGGCUUUGCUGACCUGAAGUUGAGGCACAGCUAUUAGGUCAUACGUGCAACUAACUCUCUGUUCACGCAGAACCUUUGGCAUGGUAUGGAUAACAAGUUUCAACUAGAGCCUCCGCGGUUAAAAAGAAACCUCAGUUUUCCAUAGAAGUAAGUCUCCAGGCAAAUAUUACAUUAGUUUAAGACCAUUAGAUGUUCCCCACCCCUCAAGGAGGUUCUUUAUUACACAGGCUCUCUUUUUACUACUCCAUUUGGUUUUGGGUAUCCAUACCAAAAUUUAUGAGGUACACUCCAGCUGAGCAAUUCUUUAUUCUCGUUGCAUUUUCCCCUAUUACUUCAGCUUUUGGCAGGAAUUUCUGAUGUGCAAACAUUCUUUAGAGGACAUGUUCACAUAAACUGCGGCGUGUCACUAUUUCUGGAAACCUUCAAGCAGCCCCCUACGAUCAGGUCACGGUCUUUUCCUAGGACAAACAAGUCUGUUCAGACUUUGUCCCAUGGAAUUUCAGGUUGUUUGUACUGUAACCAGGGGUCCUGUCCGCUGGCCAUUUCUGUCCUCACAGCAGGUUCUGGCCACACCUACCUCCACCCCUAAUUAUAACCUGAUCAGAACUCAGGGGGAGAAUAGAAGUCAAGCUUCUUGUCCUUCCUAAUUCCCUCUAAGAUGUUUGUUUUGAAAGGCUAGUAUUAGUCCUUGAAAGUAGCCAAGCUAACAAGGUAAAUUUCUGUAUUUAACACAAAGCAGGUUUUUAAUCCUUCACUCUUUGUCUCUCAUCUCAGGCCUGGCAGGCAUGCUUUCAUCACAUUCAUGUAUAUUAGAACAAAGCAGACAGCAAAAAAUUAUUCAGCUGAGGGAGGGGGGAUGUCAGCAACUGGCCCACAUGCUAUUAUUGUAUAAUACACCUGAUAUUUUACCUGGACAUGGUACUGAAAGAGGAGACUGCAAAUCCAAAUGCUUAUACAAUGACAUCUCUUGAGGUGUGGAUCUUUGUCCAUGACACUAUAUUUCAGCCCAUCCAAGGUGCUGUAAAAAGUUAAUUUUUGCUCUUGCUGGCAGUCAGGAAACAAGCUUUAUGACACUUUUCAAUUUCCCCUAAGUUAAUGGCGUUUGAAUCUGUCCAUCCCCACCUUCUUGAGUCCACACUUGUUAAACAUCCUUUUUGGUUCAUUAUCUGCUAACAUUCUGCAGUCAUUUAUUCUUAAGUGCUCACCUAUGACUUUGAACUUCCUUCUUUGUAUAAUUCCUUUCCCAAACAGCUUUGCAGCAGCUAGCACCAGUAUGAGUGAGUGGCAGAGGCUUUUUUUUUUUGAGUCUGAGUGAACCAAGUUCCUCCACUGCUAACCCAGAACAAGUUCACUGCAGAAAGCUCCUACAAGCUCACAAUGCGUCUCAGCAACAGCUUCAAACAGAUGCAAUAAGUAGCUAGUUUU